CAGUAGCCACGGUAAUACAGAGGGUGCGAGCGUUAAUCGGAUUUACUGGGCGUAAAGCGUGCGUAGGCGGCUUCUUAAGUCGGAUGUGAAAUCCCUGAGCUUAACUUAGGAAUUGCAUUCGAUACUGGGAAGCUAGAGUAUGGGAGAGGAUGGUAGAAUUCCAGGUGUAGCGGUGAAAUGCGUAGAGAUCUGGAGGAAUACCGAUGGCGAAGGCAGCCAUCUGGCCUAAUACUGACGCUGAGGUACGAAAGCAUGGGGAGCAAACAGGAUUAGAGACCCGUGUAGUCCCUGUCUCUUAUAA
rnacentral:rRNA from 1 species